UACAUGGGGUGCAAACGUUGCUCGGAAUCAUUGGGCGUAAAGCGCGCGUAGGCGGUUACUUAAGUUGGAUGUGAAAGCCCUCGGCUUAACCGAGGAAGUGCAUCCAAAACUGAGUAGCUAGAGUACGAAAGAGGGUCGCGGAAUUCCCGGUGUAGAGGUGAAAUUCGUAGAUAUCGGGAGGAACACCGGUGGCGAAGGCGGCGACCUGGGUCGAGACUGACGCUGAGGCGCGAAAGCGUGGGGAGCGAACAGG
rnacentral:rRNA from 1 species